rnacentral:rRNA from 1 species
GACGGAGGAUGCAAGUGUUAUCCGGAAUCACUGGGCGUAAAGCGUCUGUAGGUGGUCAAAUAAGUCAACUGUUAAAUCUUGAGGCUCAACCUCAAAAUCGCAGUCGAAACUAUUCGACUAGAGUAUAGUAGGGGUAAAGGGAAUUUCCAGUGGAGCGGUGAAAUGCGUAGAUAUGCGGAGGAACACCGAUGGCGAAGGCAAUCCCCUGGGCCUGCACUGACGCUCAUGCACGAAAGCGUGGGGAGCAAACAGG